GCCUGAGUGGCUCAGUCGGUUGAGCGUCAGACUUCAGCUCAGGUCAUGAUCUCACACUCCGUGAGUUCGAGCCCCGCAUCAGGCU
rnacentral:tRNA from 1 species